rnacentral:rRNA from 1 species
CCCUUAGAUGUCCUGGGCUGCACGCGCGCUACACUGAUGCGUCCAAUAAGCACCUAACCUAAUCCGAAGGGACCGGGUAACCUUAGCAAAGCGCAUCGUGAUGGGGAUAGAUUAUUGCAAUUAUUAGUCUUGAACGAGGAAUUCCUAGUAAGCGCAAGUCAUCAGCUUGUGUUGAUUACGUCCCUGCCCUUUGUACACACCGCCCGUCGCACCUACCGAUUGGAUGGUCCGGUGAAGCCUCGGGAUUGUGGUUCUUGCCGCUUUAUUGUGGCGUGACCGCGAGAACUUGUCUAAACCUUAUCAUCUAGAGGAAGGUGAAGUCGUAACA